UGCAGGCUGGCUUUAUAUAUUCAUGGAAAACAAAAGUGCAGCUUUCACUCUGCCAGCCCCCUCUUGCCAAACAUUUUUUUUCUUUUGGGUUGAUGUAGGUGCUCCAGUCCCUGGCACUGUAAUGUGAUAGAAUUGCUGCUACAACGGUCCUUUACACAGUCCCCAAAGAAUGCCAGUUUCUGUUUUUCAGUUUGCAGGAAACUUAUGGGUGGGAGUGUGUUACGAAGAACAAGAUGGCAGCCAAACAAGCCACUGCAUGGCUUUCAGACCCGCAAUGAGCUGUUUUACAUUUGGCGCCGAUUAGGAAACGUUCCAAGCUACCGGUACUAUUUCUAGUCUCAAUACUCUGAAACGUGUGAAAUAUGCGGACCAGAUUCUGAUCCAGUCGUUAUAAACCAAAUUUUUGCCAGUGAGAGAUGCGGUGUAAAAGCACAAGUCAGAUCUGGAAGAAAGAUGGGGAGAUAUGUCAUGAGAGAGCCAGUCUUGUUGGAACAAGGCAUUCUAAAGAAGUCUGUGAACCACACAGGCUUAUUCCCAGGUCUUUGCAGCCAAGCAACAUCAUUUCCCCUGACAUCCAUCUUGCCAAAGAGGAAGGUAGAAAAGAAGCAAGAAGUACAACAAGAGACAGAGGACCUGAAAUAUCCCUGAUGAGUGGGAAGAUGAGAGGAGAAAAGUACUGCGAGUUGCCCAAGACCGUGAAGGGAAGUCAGUGGCAGAGCCCAGAUGAGCCUGCGUGAGAUUGGUAAACAAGGUUGUAUCCUGCAAAGGCAAAAUAUCCAUCUGGUGCCCUUAAAACUGUAGGCAGCCCCAACCAAAAUGGCUCAUUACCUGAAGUGGCAUCUAUUGUUUGCUGUAUAAGUUGGUCUCUUUGUAUGAACACAUGAUAUGAGACAGUGCCUGCCCUGGAAAGCUUACGAUUAAACUAGACGAGUCAAAGCGACGGAGGAAGGAAGGAUUGUUAUUCCCACUGGUCAGACUAGAGAUGGAGGCACUAAGAGGGUAAAGGUCUGAUUCUGCGUCCUGUGGAAUCCAUGGCAUCCCCCUCGGGACCUCACCGGUGCAAGAGCAGUGCAGCAGUGAGUCACAAGGUCCCAAUGAGCCUAGAUCUGAGCUUGAGUCCAACAGCUUAAUCACACUCUCACCCUGAAAUGCAAAUUGAGUCAAUCAUAUGCCACCCCCAUUGUCUCCACUUAUACAUGGGGACCUUGAAGUACACAGGCAGGCACUGAUCACAGCGGCAUAACUGUCCAGAGAUCCUGGCAUCCCACUCCAUAGAUUAACUCCACACCUACUUCCCUAUACAUCAUUUGCCAUGUAACUCUUUAGAGUGUAAAGCAUCUUGGAGUACAGGUUCAUGUGGCAAGGCAGAAUGGUGAAAGAGUAUUUUGGAUAAGACACAAGGCCAAAAUCCUGCUGUUCCCCAGGGUCUUUUAAUCUUCCUACAGCAAUGGGGCCUUUUCCUUCUCACCUGACUUUUAGUUCUCAUGUGAAAAUGCUUCACGCAGUAAACUCCCUGCUGUUCGGUUCCUCCCCUCAGAUGAUGCUUGACCUCAGGAGUCUAAUUCUUGGUUUUCAGAGCCGCACUAACAGCCCAAAUCAGCCAAGUCUUCCUGACCUUAGGGGGAAGUGCUGUGACUAGGGUGGCCACCAUAUAGGACAGUCCGGUUGUCUUCUAUCCUUUAUUGAUAUGAAACUGGACACCUUUAUGUCCC